UCCAACACCAAUCUGUCAACAUCGGGAGUGCGAUUUCAUAACAAUUUCAAUUUUACUGUAAAAUCUGAAUUAAAUAAUUCGUCGGCGAAAGGUUUUCAAAAAUGACGAAGGAAUCGGCCCCUCCGGCUACUGGUCCUAGGGAUUGUCUAUCCUGUAGACUUGUGGGUGCUGCAGGUUUAAUAGGCAUUGGAGGUUAUCUUGCGAAUUAUGCCUGGAAAAAUCAUACAUUAGCCGGCAGAAUUACUUUAUCCACUCUUUCUUUGACAUUUGUAAGUCUCGGUAUAGCAAGAUAUAAGCAGACAUAUCCAUUUGAGAAGAGAGAAAAACAAAAGGCGUAAUGUAAUAAUUUUUUUAUGCUAUAAUAGUUAUGUUAAUAAACAUAGAGAAAGGGUGUAGUGGGAUAGUUGCUUUGUAAAACUGUAUUUACUGCUUGUAAGUAAUUUUAAGCAUUACUACUUAGUUUAGUGACUGAUAGAAAGAAUUAUUUAUAUUGCAUUAAAAUACAACCAGUGCCAUUCCUGGGAAUGUACCCAAAGGGAAUACUCAUGUUGUAAAAACCCAGUAAUACUAAGGACACUGGCUGCUUGCUGUGUUAUUUGCCUGAAGGUUAGGUAAUUAAUACACCUUUUUUUUCUUAAAUUUUGCCUCUUUUACUACCAAGUAUGAUGGUAAAGUGGGAACAUUCAUGGUAACGGCACAUACAUACAUAUAACAUGCAAAAACAACUUAUACAUGUCCCACUGCUGGGCACAGGCCUCCCCUCAACCAACGGGGGGAGGGGGCGCGGGGGGGACAUUACUGAAUAAACCUUGGUUACCAUAUUUAUUUAUACAAUAAUGCAUCAUUUUGUUCAAUCAAUAUUUGUGAUGGGGGCUAGUCCUUGCCAUAACGAACACAGAAAAAGUGAUGUACCAUUAAUUAGGUACCUAUAUAAUUAGAUGAAAAGCUAUAUUUGGUAUACAUAAUACAAAUGUAAGUAAAGUGACAAUAUAUUACUUUUUAAACAAAAGAAAUGACUGAUUAAGAUCAAUCACAUUGUAUUUUUGCUUGAAAGAAAAUAUAAAUAGAAAUUUACUAUUUAUAAUAUUUAAUAUAGGUAAUUUAAUUAUGUAUGAGUAUGUGUUAUAUAUAACGGUUGUAGUUAUUAGAAUAUUGCAUUUUGUAAAUAAAUUAAACUACUAACUAAAA